GAGGGUAUAGCUCAGUGGUAGAGUGCAUGCUCAGCAUGCACGAGGUCCUGGGUUCAAUUCCCAGUGCCUACA
rnacentral:tRNA from 1 species